rnacentral:rRNA from 1 species
CAGCCGCCGCGGUAACACAGAGGGUGCAAGCGUUAAUCGGAAUUACUGGGCGUAAAGCGCGCGUAGGUGGUUCGUUAAGUUGGAUGUGAAAUCCCCGGGUUCAACCUGGGAACUGCAUCCAAAACUGGCGAGCUAGAGUAGGGCAGAGGGUGGUGGAAUUUCCUGUGUAGCGGUGAAAUGCGUAGAUAUAGGAAGGAACACCAGUGGCGAAGGCGACCACCUGGGCUCAUACUGACACUGAGGUGCGAAAGCGUGGGGAGCAAACAGGAUUAGAUACCCCCGUAGUCCCUGUCUCUUAUAC